UUUUAAACAUGCCCAUACAAUUAAAGAGAUAUUUGAGGAGAUGAUACCUAUAUUCUAAGAACUACUGCCAGGGUUGAAUUAAUAAAAGGAAAUUUACAAAGUGUUGGACUUACACUUCGUCUUGUCCAGUCAACUGAUGGGUAUGCUGGGCACGUCAUCAUUGAAACUGUGGCUCCAAACUCGCCUGCUGCAAUUGCAGAUCUUCAGCGGGGAGAUCGACUUAUUGCCAUUGGAGGUGUGAAAAUCACAUCAACACUGCAAGUGUUGAAGCUUAUCAAGCAGGCUGGUGACCGAGUCCUGGUGUACUAUGAAAGGCCUGUUGGCCAGAGUAAUCAAGGUGCAGUGCUGCAAGAUAACUUUGGCCAGUUGGAAGAAAACUUUUUGUCAAGCUCAUGCCAAUCGGGUUAUGAAGAGGAAGCUGCCGGGUUGACAGUAGAUACUGAAAGUAGAGAGCUGGAUUCUGAAUUUGAAGACUUGGCAAGUGAUGUCAGAGCACAAAAUGAGUUCAAAGAUGAGGCACAAUCAUUAAGUCAUAGUCCCAAACGUGUUCCAACAACACUUUCUAUUAAACCCCUUGGAGCUAUAUCACCAGUUUUAAACCGUAAAUUAGCUGUAGGAAGUCACCCACUACCACCAAAAAUUCAGUCCAAAGAUGGAAAUAAACCUCCACCCCUAAAAACUUCAGAGAUAACAGACCCAGCACAAGUGUCAAAACCAACCCAAGGAUCUGCUUUCAAACCACCUGUGCCACCACGACCACAAGUGAAAGUUCCUUUGCCUUCCGCCGAUGCUCCAAAUCAGGCAGAACCAGAUGUUCUCGUUGAAAAGCCAGAGAAGGUGGCGCCGCCUCCUCUUGUAGAUAAAUCUGCUGAAAAGCAAGCAAAAAAUGUGGAUCCCGUAGACGAUGCAGCUGCACCUAAGCAAUUUUUAGCAAAGCAAGAAGUGGCCAAAGAUGUCACUUCAGAAACUUCCUGCCCUACUAAGGACAGUUCGGACGACCGUCAAACAUGGGAAUCAUCAGAAAUUCUUUAUCGUAAUAAGCUAGGAAAAUGGACAAGAACCAGAGCAUCCUGUUUGUUUGACAUAGAAGCCUGUCACAGGUACUUAAACAUUGCAUUGUGGUGCAGGGAUCCUUUUAAGUUGGGAGGUCUCAUCUGUUUGGGGCAUGUUAGUUUAAAACUUGAAGAUGUGGCUUUAGGAUGCCUGGCUACAUCAAACACGGAAUACCUUUCCAAAUUGAGACUGGAAGCCCCCUCACCUAAGGCUAUAGUCACUAGAACAGCACUACGCAAUCUGAGUAUGCAAAAGGGAUUCAAUGACAAAUUUUGCUAUGGUGACAUUACUAUUCACUUCAAAUAUUUGAAAGAAGGAGAAUCAGACCACCAUGUAGUUACUAACGU
rnacentral:sRNA from 1 species